CCUACGGGUGGCAGCAGUGGGGAAUAUUGCACAAUGGGCGAAAGCCUGAUGCAGCAACGCCGCGUGAAGGAAGAAGGGUUUCGGCUCGUAAACUUCUAUCAACAGGGACGAAAGAAAUGAUGGUACCUGAAUAAGAAGCCCCUGCUAACUACGUGCCAGCAGCCGCCGUAAUACGUAGGGGGCAAGCGUUAUCCGGAAUUACGGGGUGUAAAGGGUGAGAAGGCGGCAUGGUAAGCCAGAUGUGAACGCCUUGGGCUAAACCUGAGGAUUGUAUGUGGAACUAUCAAGCUAGAGUACAGGAGAGGAAAGCGGAAUUCCUAGUGUAGCAGUGAAAUGCGUAGAUAUUAGGAAGAACACCAGUGGCGAAGGCGGCUUGCUGGAAUGAAUCUGACGCUGAGGCACGAAAGCGUAGGGAGCGAACAGGAUUAGAUACCCGUGUAGUC
rnacentral:rRNA from 1 species